ACCCGCCUCCCUUCAACUCCCACAGCACGCUCGCCUCCCUUCAUCCUCCUCAGCAUGCUCACUUAGCUUCCUUGCUUGCUUAGCUUCAUUGCUUGCUCGUGCCAUGGAGUCCGACGCCAUGGAUUCCGGCGACAUGAAGGUCACAAGCUGCAUGGAGUCCCGCGGCAUGGAGGAGGCGCUGGACUCGGAGGUCACGCCAAUCUCGGAUAUGGCGUGAGAGGUGCUGCCGGACUCCGUCGAGGUGCUGCCCGACUCUGUCGACGUGCUGCCGGACUCCGUCGAGGUGCUGCCCGACUCCGUCGAGAUGGUGCCGGACUCCGUCGAGAUGGUGUCCGACUCCAUCGAGUCCAUGUGUCCUCGCUGUGGCACGUUUCAUGCCGGCGGCGUCUUCGGAGAAGCCUGCUUCCAAGCUCGCCGCCUCGCUCGCACCUGUGCACGUUGUGGUCUUCUUCACGAAGACUACGACUUGGCAGCAAGGAUUUUGCAUGAUUUGGACAAAUUUGAUUGCCAAAUUUACAUUCCUGAUGUGGACAAGCUUGUGAUGAAUGGUAACAACAUCAUGGUGCCUGACCAUAUCAUGAAGACAUUGGACGAUCAAUUGAAGAUGAAGCAAGAUGACGAGCAAUUGAAGAUGAAGCACCGGUUCAAAAAAAGAAAGAUGAUGCAAAUUGCCUCCAUGGAAGAACCAAACCAAGAUCAGUAAGAGAGACUAGCAAUUGCUUCGACUAGCAAGGAAGUUUCACAAGACAUUUGCAAUGGCAGCCGGUCUUCUCUUUCUAGUCUCUGUUUUUGCAUGUGAGGAAUCUUUAUCUUGUUGCAUCCUUUAAUCUUCAUGGCUUCCUUCAAAACACUCUGUAGUGUUACAAAGAUCCUAUUUGCUUUGCGUGGAGAAUACUCUUGGAAUGCCUACAAAAAAUUUGUUCAAGCAAUGAAUCAAUGAGUACUCCAUUUAGUUGUUAAAGAAACAAUGUAACAAGUGAACAAGUGAUCU